rnacentral:lncRNA from 1 species
GAACUGCAUGAGCACACAGUUGCAUUUCCUUGACAGAGCUAUUCAAUUACAUGACUUACGCAUCCGUGUUACGUUUGCAUUUGUACCUCGGAAAAUGAGGCAGAAUGAUCAGUCUAUGAGCAUUUUUGAAGUCUUUAGAGAUCUGUGGGGGCUUAAACGGAUCGGUGCUUCUAAAAAAUUCAGUGAUCUACGGUCAACAUACAAAAAACUAGUUUCACAAACAAUGAAUGGAAUUAAUUCUUUUCCCGAUUCCUGUGUUUCAGGAUAAAGGAGCUUGUUCAAGGUGAAGGACGUUCGAAAUGCAGAGCCAGAGCACAUGGAGAUCCCACUGUUCUAGAGCGGGUAAGUCUACAGGAUCUUCUCCAAAGUUCGUGGUCAGUAAAUGUAGAGACUAAUCCAAAAUAAUAAAGUUAUACAACCUUGUAAAUUUUGUUUGAUAUGAACAUAUAUUGGUUUUGAGCAUUGACAGUCUACUUUCAGGUACUCAGUGGCAUGGUGUCCCAUUUAUAGAAUACCUGAUGGCACUCUUCGUGCGGCUUUCUUGACUUACCAUUCACUUGGUCAUUUGGUACGCAAAGAUCCCAUACAUGAUUUGUCGGUGGAUACUUG